CACAGCCACAGGGGUGGGGCUGCCGAGGCAAGGGACGGCCAGUCCUUUGAGAAACUGGAAGGAGUAUGGGGAGGAAGAAGCAGCAGCAGCAGGACAACAGUCUGGAAAGGAGCAGCCAAGGGAGAAGUGGGACAAUCAGGGGAGUCUCGAGCUGGAGGAGGAAACGUGCGGCAGAACUCUUCGCCCGGAACAGACCUGCAGCGGAUGUUUGCUGGACGUUGAUUGAAGGAGGAAGGGGAAGUGAGAGCAGCUCAGAGAGGAGUCCCUUCUCCCUGUGACUCCGGGAAAGUUUGGUCCCGCUGAAGCAGGAUGCAGCCGUUCUUCCAAAGUGAAGGCCCCACCUGCACCCGUGGUGUUCCAAACUUCAUUGUUUAUGCGCCACAUCUAGUACAUUAUUUUUUCUUAAAUGGAAAAAUACAACCCAGCCCACCAGUGGGCUGACAGUUCUUGGUGACCAUAACCACCA